AGAGUUUGAUCAUGGCUCAGAUUGAACGCUGGCGGCAUGCCUUACACAUGCAAGUCGAACGGCAGCACGGGAGCAAUCCUGGUGGCGAGUGGCGAACGGGUGAGUAAUACAUCGGAACGUGCCCAAUCGUGGGGGAUAACGCAGCGAAAGCUGUGCUAAUACCGCAUAAGAUCUACGGAUGAAAGCAGGGGACCGCAAGGCCUUGCGCGAGUGGAGCGGCCGAUGGCAGAUUAGGUAGUUGGUGGGGUAAAGGCUCACCAAGCCGUCGAUCUGUAGCUGGUCUGAGAGGACGACCAGCCACACUGGGACUGAGACACGGCCCAGACUCCUACGGGAGGCAGCAGUGGGGAAUUUUGGACAAUGGGCGCAAGCCUGAUCCAGCCAUGCCGCGUGCAGGAUGAAGGCCUUCGGGUUGUAAACUGCUUUUGUACGGAACGAAAAGGUUCUCUCUAAUACAGGGGGCUCAUGACGGUACCGUAAGAAUAAGCACCGGCUAACUACGUGCCAGCAGCCGCGGUAAUACGUAGGGUGCAAGCGUUAAUCGGAAUUACUGGGCGUAAAGCGUGCGCAGGCGGUGAUGUAAGACAGUUGUGAAAUCCCCGGGCUCAACCUGGGAACUGCAUCUGUGACUGCAUCGCUGGAGUGCGGCAGAGGGGGAUGGAAUUCCGCGUAGCAGUGAAAUGCGUAGAUAUGCGGAGGAACACCGAUGGCGAAGGCAAUCCCCUGGGCCUGCACUGACGCUCAUGCACGAAAGCGUGGGGAGCAAACAGGAUUAGAUACCCUAGUAGUCC
rnacentral:rRNA from 1 species